CAUCCCUAUGAUGAAUAUUUAUGAAGUUUUAACGUUAAAAGUAGACUGAUAUUCUUUGAAGAGAAAUGAGUUCUGAGGGAUG
rnacentral:snoRNA from 1 species